UACGAGAGGUGCAAGCGUUAUUCGGAAUUAUUGGGCGUAAAGGGUGCGUAGACGGUGUGUUAAGUCUGUUGUUAAAUCUUUCGGCUUAACCGAAAAUCAGCAAUGGAAACUGGCAUGCUAGAGUGUGAAAGAGAGAAGUGGAAUUCUUGGAGUAGCGGUAAAAUGCGUAGAUCUCAAGAGGAACACCGAUGGCGAAGGCAGCUUCUUGGUUCACUACUGACGUUGAGGCACGAAAGCGUGGGUAGCAAACAGGG
rnacentral:rRNA from 1 species